GUGGGGAAUCUUGCGCAAUGGGCGAAAGCCUGACGCAGCCAUGCCGCGUGAAUGAUGAAGGUCUUAGGAUUGUAAAAUUCUUUCACCGGGGACGAUAAUGACGGUACCCGGAGAAGAAGCUCCGGCUAACUUCGUGCCAGCAGCCGCGGUAAUACGAAGGGGGCUAGCGUUGCCCGGAAUUACUGGGCGUAAAGGGCGCGUAGGCGGACAGCUUAGUCAGAGGUGAAAGCCCAGGGCUCAACCUUGGAAUUGCCUUUGAUACUGGCUGUCUUGAGUGUGGGAGAGGUGAGUGGAACUCCGAGUGUAGAGGUGAAAUUCGUAGAUAUUCGGAAGAACACCAGUGGCGAAGGCGACUCACUGGCCCAAUACUGACGCUGAGGCGCGAAAGCGUGGGGAGCAAACAGGAUUAGAUACCCCAGUAGUCC
rnacentral:rRNA from 1 species